UUACUCUGGUUUCCCUUCAAAACGAAAAAAUCUUUCGCCUUUUACUAAAGAUUUCCGUGGAGGGGAACACUCAAAUGAGUCUAUAAGAAUUUUUUGACACCCUGCGGCACGCGGGGCU